CCUACGGGAGGCAGCAGUGGGGAAUACUGGACAAUGGGCGAAAGCCUGAUCCAGCCAUGCCGCGUGUGUGAAGAAGGCCUUCGGGUUGUAAAGCACUUUCAGUGGGGAAGAAAGCCUUGGGGCUAAUACCCUCGAGGAAGGACAUCACCCACAGAAGAAGCACCGGCUAACUCCGUGCCAGCAGCCGCGGUAAUACGGAGGGUGCGAGCGUUAAUCGGAAGUACUGGGCGUAAAGCGCGCGUAGGCGGUCUGAUAAGCCGGUUGUGAAAGCCCCGGGCUCAACCUGGGAACGGCAUCCGGAACUGUCAGGCUAGAGUGCAGGAGAGGAAGGUAGAAUUCCCGGUGUAGCAGUGAAAUGCGUAGAGAUCGGGAGGAAUACCAGUGGCGAAGGCGGCCUUCUGGACUGACACUGACGCUGAGGUGCGAAAGCGUGGGUAGCAAACAGGAUUAGAUACCCCGGUAGUC
rnacentral:rRNA from 1 species